AGUGAAGACCAUUCGGAGGGGUUGGACUGGAACAUGACUGGACAAUGGAUGACAGGACUCGGUGAAAGGCUGUGUGAAAUUCAGGAGAGCUCUGUUGCAAGGAGGCUGUUGUUCAACACUGGUCGCUUGAGCACGUGCCGAUUGUGUCUUGUGGAUUUUUUCUGGGAGCUGACUAUCUGAUUUUGGAGCACCAGUACCUGUUGUAUUUGAGGACUUUUUCAUUUCCCUAAAAGAAGUAAUCUGAACACACAUACAUUAAGGUUUUAAGGUCAUAAUCCCCACAUUAUCACAUUUGGACUAGACUCAAAUGUCAUAUGAUUGUUGUGUUAAUUUUAGAACCCCUUUAAAAAGAAAGCAUUGUGCUUUUAGUGUCGUUUACAAUUUAUAUUCUUUUUAUAAUAAAAAUACCAAGUGGUUUGUCGGAA